GACGUAGGGCGCGAGCGUUGUCCGGAUUUAUUGGGCGUAAAGAGCUCGUAGGCGGCUCGUUGCGUCGGCUGUGAAAACCCGCAGCUCAACUGUGGGCUUGCAGCCGAUACGGGCGGGCUUGAGUUCGGUAGGGGAGACUGGAAUUCCUGGUGUAGCGGUGAAAUGCGUAGAUAUCAGGAGGAACACCGGUGGUGUAAACGGCUUUCUGGACCAUAACUGACGCUGAGGCACGAAAGCCAGGGGAGCGAACGGG
rnacentral:rRNA from 1 species